ensembl:lncRNA
GUGUGAGAUGGGGAGGUGCUGUAGGACGUGAGAUGGGGAGGUGCUGGAGGAUGUGAGAUGGGGAGGUGCUGUAGGAUGUGAGAUGGGGAGGUGCUGGAGGAUGUGAGAUGGGGAGGUGCUGUUGGAUGUGAGAUGGGGAGGUGCUUGUGAGAUGGGGAGGUGCUGUAGGAUGUGAGAUGGGGAGGUGCUGGAGGAUGUGAGAUGGGGAGGUGCUUGUGAGAUGGGGAGGUGCUGGAGGAUGUGAGAUGGGGAGGUGCUGGAGGAUGUGAGAUGGGGAGGUGCUGGAGGAUGUGAGAUGGGGAGGUGCUGGAGGAUGUGACAUGGGGAGGUGCUGUAGGAUAUGAGAUGGGGAGGUGCUGUAGGAUGUGAGAUGGGGAGGUGCU